AUUAUAACUUUUUGUAGAAAAUAUCAAUUUAGCUGAUUCUUCUUUUAUUGGAUAGUAGACUCAAAGAGCUUCGAUUUGAGUACUCAUACGCGUAUUUUCGACUUCGGUAAGGGGGUCAACCGGACUGUCAAAGUUGCGGUAAAUUUUGCUGCUGGGGAUUUGCGUGAGCAGUAAAUUUUUUUGGAUUGUAGGCAAUGUGAGCUGGCUUGGCUGCGGUUCCUUUUGUGAGAAUAUUUUGGGGACCCUUUCAGACAUUCCCUCCAUGUUUUGGGGCUGGAAAGGAGUAUGGGGCAUUGUUUUAUUGAAUUAUCUUUGCUAAAUAACAAUUCCAUGGGUCCUUGUGUGUCUAGGAAUCAUUUCCUUUAAUUCCAAAGCUGAAUGAGUGUUUUGGACAGCAGAGAAAGGCCCUUAGUUAGAGUAUUUCGAAAUUUCUAAGUGUGCUAAGUGUGGAGAUUGUCUUGGCCUGUGAAAGAAGAGAGGGAUUCCAAGAAACUAGAGUUCUACCAAGGUUGUGGAAGAGAUCAAGUUAAAGUGUUCAAGGCAAAAAGAUGGCGUUUUAGAUGAGGCAGAGAUGAAGUAGCAUGAUGAGAGUUAUGGGAAUGACUAUGGGGGACUUAUCAUGUUUUAAGUAAUUUUAUGUUUUUGAAUAUUGAAUUUGAUAUUUGUAAGGUUUUAACUUUAUGUUGUAAAACGCUUAAACUUUAUGUUGUAAGACGCUUAAACUUUUGAUGGUUUAUUUCCGCGAUGUUAAUUGAAGAAAAAAAAAAUUGGCGUAAAAGUUUUGAUUUCGUUAUUUUCUAGUGGCACCCUGAUAAGGGGUGUUACAAA